rnacentral:rRNA from 1 species
UACGUAGGGUGCAAGCGUUAAUCGGAAUUACUGGGCGUAAAGCGUGCGUAGACGGUUACAUAAGUCGGGUGUGAAAGCCCCGGGCUCAACCUGGGAAUUGCAUUCGAGACGUGCGUAGCUAGGGUGCGGAAGAGGGAAGCGGAAUUUCCGGUGUAGCGGUGAAAUGCGUAGAUAUCGGAAGGAACACCAGUGGCGAAAGCGGCUCCUGGUCC